AUGAAACAGAAAAGGGCAGGAUGGGAGGUGCAAACAGAUGGGGUGAUGGGCUUGAGGAUGAUGGGGCGGAGGCCUAAUGGAUUUUUACAAAACUAUUGGGCUCGGGUUAGUGUUGUUAGGCCCAGGAUGGUAAGGGAGCACAAAGAAAAUCCUGGAGAUGUUUUUAACAAUGCCAGCCGCUCAAACCCUUCUAUUCAUCCACGUUUUUUUUCUCUUAUAAUUUCCUCUGUUUCUCAACCUUCUGGAAAAUAUUUUCUCUCUUCAUCAUUCAAUAUAACAACAAUACUAUCUACUUUUCAUCCAUUCGAAUCUAUCACGGUGCGGCUCCACCUUCCCAUUCCAUGUCGCGACUCUUCCACAAAAACUCAAACACUCACACAAAAUCGUGAGCUUUGGCGAUGA